rnacentral:lncRNA from 1 species
GGCACAGACGGCUCAGAUUGCAUCGCGAUGGAAAGACCAUAUUUAAUCCCAAUUAAAUCACAAUCGGACGAUUCAGAUUUAAUCUUGAUGGACGGUUGAGAUUAAAAGGCAAAGGGUAUAAAUAACCCCACCCACACCUGACAACAAAACCCUAGCCGCCAGUGCCUCGCCGGAGAAGAAGAACCAGGCGCCGGAGGAGCCAGCCGCCGGAGAAGUUUCCGACCGCUAAUCGAGGUAAAUUUUCUCUCUCUAGCUCGUUUUUCGAUGCUGAAUCCGCCUAUGGCCAAACAGGAGCCAAACCACCAGCCAAACGGCUGG